GACGAACGCGGCGGCGUGCCUAAUACAUGCAAGUAGAACGCUGAAGGAGGAGCUUGCUUCUCUGGAUGAGUUGCGAACGGGUGAGUAACGCGUAGGUAACCUGCCUGGUAGCGGGGGAUAACUAUUGGAAACGAUAGCUAAUACCGCAUAAUAGCAGUUAUUGCAUGAUAACUGUUUGAAAGGUGCAAUUGCACCACUACCAGAUGGACCUGCGUUGUAUUAGCUAGUUGGUGGGGUAACGGCUCACCAAGGCGACGAUACAUAGCCGACCUGAGAGGGUGAUCGGCCACACUGGGACUGAGACACGGCCCAGACUCCUACGGGAGGCAGCAGUAGGGAAUCUUCGGCAAUGGACGGAAGUCUGACCGAGCAACGCCGCGUGAGUGAAGAAGGUUUUCGGAUCGUAAAGCUUCUGUUGUAAAGAGAAAGAAACGAAGUGUG
rnacentral:rRNA from 1 species